GAUGCCCUGGCAGUCAGAGGCGAUGAAGGACGUGCUAAUCUGCGAUAAGCGCCGGUAAGGUGAUAUGAACCGUUAUAACCGGCGAUUUCCGAAUGGGGAAACCCAGUGUGACUCGUCACACUAUCAUUAACUGAAUCCAUAGGUUAAUGAGGCGAACCGGGGGAACUGAAACAUCUAAGUACCCCGAGGAAAAGAAAUCAACCGAGAUUCCCCCAGUAGCGGCGAGCGAACGGGGAGGAGCCCAGAGCCUGAAUCAGCAUGUGUGUUAGUGGAAGCGUCUGGAAAGGCGCGCGAUACAGGGUGACAGCCCCGUACACAAAAGCGCAUGUGCUGUGAGCUCGAUGAGUAGGGCGGGACACGUGGUAUCCUGUCUGAAUAUGGGGGGACCAUCCUCCAAGGCUAAAUACUCCUGACUGACCGAUAGUGAACCAGUACCGUGAGGGAAAGGCGAAAAGAACCCCGGCGAGGGGAGUGAAAAAGAACCUGAAACCGU
rnacentral:rRNA from 1 species